GACGAACGCUGGCGGCGUGCCUAAUACAUGCAAGUCGAGCGGACUGAAUGGGAGCUUGCUCUUGUUCGGUCAGCGGCGGACGGGUGAGUAACACGUGGGCAACCUGCCCGCAAGGCCGGGAUAACUCCGGGAAACCGGAGCUAAUACCGGAUAACACCGAAGACCGCAUGGUCUUUGGUUGAAAGGCGGCGCAAGCUGCCACUUGCGGAUGGGCCCGCGGCGCAUUAGCUAGUUGGUGAGGUAACGGCUCACCAAGGCGACGAUGCGUAGCCGGCCUGAGAGGGUGACCGGCCACACUGGGACUGAGACACGGCCCAGACUCCUACGGGAGGCAGCAGUAGGGAAUCUUCCGCAAUGGGCGAAAGCCUGACGGAGCGACGCCGCGUGAGCGAAGAAGGCCUUCGGGUCGUAAAGCUCUGUUGUGAGGGACGAAGGAGCGCCGUUUGAAGAAGGCGGCGCGGUGACGGUACCUCACGAGGAAGCCCCGGCUAACUACGUG
rnacentral:rRNA from 1 species